AGAGGAGGGAGAGGAGGGAGAGGGGACUUGGGUUGUACCAAGUUGGGCAGUGCAGAGUUCAGGGGGCGGGGUUUGAAGUCACAGAAACUCUUCAAGCCACUGAGUCAAGCUACUGCUGAGGGAGAAACACAAACCAAAGCCAGUGGGUGUGUCUCAGGGAGAAGAGGGAGAGUCUGAACUCAGCUCUGAGAGGGUUUCAGAAGGAGCACUGACAUACAGGGUCUGUGUCCACCAGAGGGCGCUGAUGAGCUCAGGUGCUGAUGGCCCUCUGCCAUGCUCACCUGCAGUACCUGCAAAGCUUUUAAAAGCCUUAUUUCAGGGAAUCAAACACCGUAUAGACAAAGAACAAACUAAAUCUGAGACAGUGCAGCAACCACUCUCUUGGACUGAAACAUCUGUGGACGUCAGAUGUUUGGAUCUGAACCAACAGCCUGUUUAAAGGGCUGCUCCUCAUCAAGCCCCUGGGUCACAAAGGUCAAGAGGUUCUCAGUCUGUAUUUUGGAGCAUCAUUUCUCAGACUCCAGUCUUACUGGUGGGGUUUAGGCUUCAAGCCAGAUUCAUGUACUGUAUUUUGGUUCAAAUCAGCAAUGAAAUUCUGUUUUAUAAAUCUGGACUAGUUGCCUCAACAAAAGAAUUAGAUCCACAGCCAUUCUUUAAUUACCAGCAGCUGAUAUUCAGUCAUUUUGCAGAUAUAAUAACCGUUAAAGGUUUGUACUGCCUGACCAUCUCUUUGUACCUGCACAAUAUCAAUCCUUAGUUUUUCCAACUGGAUUGCUGGAUGAGGUGGAGGAGGGAGAGGAGGGAGAGGAGGGAGAGGGGACUUGGGUUGUACCAAGUUGGGCAGUGCAGAGUUCAGGGGGCGGGGUUUGAAAUCACAGAAACUCUUCAAGCCACUGAGUCAAGCUACUGCUGAGGGAGAAACACAAACCAAAGCCAGUGGGUGUGUCUCAGGGAGAAGAGGGAGAGUCUGAACUCAGCUCUGAGAGGGUUUCAGAAGGAGCACUGACAUACAGGGUCUGUGUCCACCAGAGGGCGCUGAUGAGCUCAGGUGCUGAUGGCCCUCUGCCAUGCUCACCUCCAGUAUCUGCAAAGCUUUUAAAAGCCUUAUUUCAGGGAAUCAAACACCGUAUAGACAAAGAACAAACUAAAUCUGAGACAGUGCAGCAACCACUCUCUUGGAUUGAAACAUCUGUGGACGUCAGAUGUUUGGAUCUGAACCAACAGCCUGUUUAAAGGGCUGCUCCUCAUCAAGCCCCUGGGUCACAAAGGUCAAGAGGUUCUCAGUCUGUAUUUUGGAGCGUCAUUUCUCAGACUCCAGUCUUACUGGUGGGGUUUAGGCUUCAAGCCAGAUUCAUGUACUGUAUUUUGGUUCAAAUCAGCAAUGAAAUUCUGUUUUAUAAAUCUGGACUAGUUGCCUCAACAAAAGAAUUAGAUCCACAGCCAUUCUUUAAUUACCAGCAGCUGAUAUUCAGUCAUUUUGCAGAUAUAAUAACCGUUAAAGGUUUGUACUGCCUGACCAUCUCUUUGUACCUGCACAAUAUCAAUCCUUAGUUUUUCCAACUGGAUUGCUGGAUGAGGUGGAGGAGGGAGAGGAGGGAGAGGAGGGAGAGGGGACUUGGGUUGUACCAAGUUGGGCAGUGCAGAGUUCAGGGGGCGG